rnacentral:rRNA from 1 species
GACAGAGGUGCCGAGCGUUAGGCGGAAUCACUGGGCUUAAAGCGUGUGUAGGCGGGCCCGUAAGUACCUUGUGAAAUCCCACCGCUCAACGGUGGAACUGCUCGGUAUACUGCGGGUCUUGAGCCACCUAGGGGCAGCCGGAACAAGCGGUGGAGCGGUGAAAUGCGUAGAUAUUGGGAGGAACACCAGUGGCGAAGGCGGCUCACUGGACCGGUACUGACGCUGAUGCGCGAAAGCGUGGGGAGCAAACGGG